rnacentral:siRNA from 1 species
CUAUGUUUGGGAAACUACAAACA